rnacentral:rRNA from 1 species
UACAGAGGUCUCAAGCGUUGUUCGGAUUCAUUGGGCGUAAAGGGUGCGUAGGUGGCAUGGUAAGUCGGAUGUGAAAUCCCGGGGCUCAACCCCGGAACUGCAUUCGAUACUGCUGCGCUAGAGUACUGGAGAGGAGAUUGGAAUUUACGGUGUAGCAGUGAAAUGCGUAGAUAUCGUAAGGAAGACCAGUGGCGAAGGCGGAUCUCUGGACAGUUACUGACACUGAGACGCGAAAGCGUGGGGGAGCGAACAGG